AGGACGAACGCUGGCGGCGUGCUUAACACAUGCAAGUCGAGCGGAAAGGCCCUUCGGGGUACUCGAGCGGCGAACGGGUGAGUAACACGUGAGCAACCUGCCCUUAGCUUCGGGAUAGCUCCGGGAAACCGGAAUUAAUACCGAAUAUGACUUUGGCUGACAUCAGCAGAAGUGGAAAGUUUUUCGGCUAGGGAUGGACUCGCGGCCUAUCAGCUAGUUGGUGAGGUAACGGCCCACCAAGGCGACGACGGGUAGCCGGCCUGAGAGGGCGACCGGCCACACUGGGACUGAGACACGGCCCAGACUCCUACGGGAGGCAGCAGUGGGGAAUAUUGCGCAAUGGGCGAAAGCCUGACGCAGCGACGCCGCGUGGGGGAUGAAUGCCUUCGGGUUGUAAACCCCUUUCAGCAGGGACGAAGCGAAAGUGACGGUACCUGCAGAAGAAGCGCGGCUAACUACGCGCCAGCAGCCGC
rnacentral:rRNA from 1 species